GAUUUUGUCCAUGAUGAUAGAUGUUUCAUACCCAGCUCAUUAUGAGACCUAUAAGAGGUCUGGGAAUUGACUCUUAUCCAACAUUUAUCUGAGCAUGUU